AGGCGCGAAAACUUUACAAUGCGAGAAAUCGUGAUAAGGGAACCCCGAGUGCCCGUAAAUUCCGGCUGUCCUUCAGUGUAAAUAACUGGUGAAGAAAGGGCCGGGCAAGACCGGUGCCUGCCGCCGCGGGAAUACCCGGGGCUCGAGUGGUGGCCGCUAUUACUGGGCUUAACGCGUCCGUAGCUUGGUUGUUAAGUCUCCUGGGAAAUCCACCGGCUCAACCGAUGGGCGUUCCUGAGAUACUGGCAACCUAGGGACCGGCAGAGGUGAGAGGUACUCCUAGGGUAGGAGUGAAAUCCUGUAAUCCUUGGGGGACCACCUGUGGCCAAGGCGUCUCACUCUAACGGCUCCGACAGUGAGGGACGAAAGCUGGGGGAGCAAACCGAAUUAAAUACCCGGGUAGUCCCACCCGUAAACGAUGCGCGUUAGGUGUAUGGGUGACCCCGAGUCACCGAGGUGCCGAAGGGAAACCGUGAAACGUGCCGCCUGGGAAGUACGGUCGCAAGGCUGAAACUUAAAGGAAUUGGCGGGGGAGCACCACAACACGUGGAGCCUGCGGUUUAAUCGGACUCGUCUUGCGCAAGCUCACCUUAUAAGACUGCUUACUGAUAUGCGGGCUGAAAACUCUGCUUGACUAGCUGAUAGGAUGUGCAUGGUUGUCGUCAUGUCGUACUGUCAAGCAUG
rnacentral:rRNA from 1 species